rnacentral:misc_RNA from 1 species
UCGUUGUGUGAUGUGAUUUAGGAUUUAAGUUUGCUGGCAGACCCUAGCUUCUUAUCAUUCCAGGUCUCAAUUCAUUGAGGUUAGGUUGAUAGGACGCUGGGCUCACUGUAAUUCGCAAGAAUUGCAGAGAUGUUCAGCAGAACCUUGACAACUGCAUAGGUAAGUCUGGAAAGAAUAAAGCAUCUCAUGGAUGCAUGAUUCUUGGGAGUCAGCUAAUGCAAUCUGCGCCAGUAGAGAGCUGAGGUUGAUCAACGAGAAUGAUGUUUGAUUCUUGAGUCAAGAGCCGAGACUCUAUAGCGUUCUUUCGAUGUCAUCGAGGCGUCGAGAGUUUGAUUGGUCAUUCAAACCAUCUUUAAUGACAAACCAUUCAGUUUAACU